GCAAGAUUAAAACUCAAAGGAAUUGACGGGGCCCCGCACAAGCAGCGGAGCAUGCGGCUUAAUUCGACGCAACGCGAAGAACCUUACCAAGGCUUGACAUAUACAGGAAUACGGCAGAGAUGUCGUAGCCGCAAGGUCUGUAUACAGGUGGUGCAUGGUUGUCGUCAGCUCGUGUCGUGAGAUGUUGGGUUAAGUCCCGCAACGAGCGCAACCCUCGUUCUGUGUUGCCAGCAUUUAGUUGGGGACUCACAGGAGACUGCCGGGGUUAACUCGGAGGAAGGUGGGGAUGACGUCAAAUCAUCAUGCCCCUUAUGUCUUGGGCUGCACGCAUGCUACAAUGGCUGGUACAAACGGCUGCGAUACCGCAAGGUGGAGCGAAUCCGAUAAAGCCAGUCUCAGUUCGGAUUGGGGUCUGCAACUCGACCCCAUGAAGUCGGAGUUGCUAGUAAUCGUAGAUCAGCAACGCUACGGUGAAUACGUUCCCGGGGCUUGUACACACCGCCCGUCACAUCGCGAAAGUCGGUAACACC
rnacentral:rRNA from 1 species